UUGCUACUCCCUCAGUCUUAAAAUUCUUGUCUUAGAUUUAUCUAGAUACGGAUGUAUCAAGUCAUAUUUUAGUAUUAGAUACAUCCGUAUCUAGACAAAUGUAAGACAAGAAUUUUGAGACGGAGGGAGUACUUU
rfam:Triticum aestivum genome assembly, contig: Triticum_aestivum_CS42_TGACv1_scaffold_557890_7AL